rnacentral:rRNA from 2 species
AAUCAAGUGCCUUAAGGGUGUUCGGUGGAUGCCUUGGCGCUGAGAGGCGAUGAAGGACGUGCUACGCUGCGAUAAGCCGUGGGGAGCUGCGAAGAAGCUUUGAUCCGCGGAUUUCCGAAUGGGGAAACCCACCUUCGAUAGCCGGAACUCCAAGACCUUGUGUGUUGGGGUUCGACCAGAAAUGCGAGAAAUCAAACCGCGAGGUUUUGGAUUUCCGGUUAUCAAGAGAAGGUAUGAGACCUCCGAAUAAAAUAGGAGGUUUUAAGCAAACCCAGGGAACUGAAACAUCUAAGUACCUGGAGGAAAGGACAUCAAUCGAGACUCCGUUAGUAGUGGCGAGCGAACGCGGACCAGGCCAGUGAUACAUCAAAGACAAUCGGAACCUGUCAGGAAAGCAGGGCCUCAGAGG